GGGGUUUUAAGCACUGUUGUGUCCCUCUUUUGGGUAGUUUCAUUUUAUGUCUAAAUGCCUAGAGACUUCUUUCCUUAUCCUUUAAAUUCACAGAAGAUGUCUUGGAGAAGAGAGUUUAUCAAGUUCUCCUGAAGGUACAUUCCUCCAGGGAGCUACAUCUGCUUCUUCCAGGUGUCUGGGGCAUUGCAGAUCUGAUCCACAUUUUUUUUUUUUUUCGAGACAGAGUCUCACUCUGUUACCCAGGCUAGAGUGCCGUGGUGCGAUCAUGGCUCACUAUAGCCUCAACCUCCCAGGCUCCAGUGAUCCUCCCACCUCAGCCCCCAGAGUAGCUAGGACUACAGGCACACGCCACCAAACCCAGUUAAUUUUUGUAUUUUUAGUAGAGACAGGUUUCACCAUGUUGCCCAGGAGGGUCUCAAAUUCUUGAGCUCAAGCGAUUCGCCCACCUCAGCCUCACAAAGUGCUGGGAUUACAGGCGUGAGCCACAGCACCUGACCUCUCAUUCUUUCUUUCUUUCUUUUUUUUUUUUUUUGAGACAGAGUCUUGCUCUGUCACUCAGGUUGGAGUACAGUGGUGUGAUCUCAGCUCACUGCAACCUCUGCCUCCUGGGUUCAAGUGAUUCUCAUGUCUCAGCCUCCCGAGUAGCUGGGACUACAGGCAUGCACCACCACA
rnacentral:lncRNA from 10 species